rnacentral:rRNA from 1 species
GGAGCACUUCGGUGCUUAGCGGCGGACGGGUGAGUAACACGUAGGCAACCUGCCUGUAAGAUCGGGAUAACUACCGGAAACGGUAGCUAAGACCGGAUAGCUGGUUUCGGUGCAUGCCGGAAUCAUGAAACACGGGGCAACCUGUGGCUUACAGAUGGGCCUGCGGCGCAUUAGCUAGUUGGCGGGGUAACGGCCCACCAAGGCGACGAUGCGUAGCCGACCUGAGAGGGUGAUCGGCCACACUGGGACUGAGACACGGCCCAGACUCCUACGGGAGGCAGCAGUAGGGAAUCUUCCGCAAUGGGCGCAAGCCUGACGGAGCAACGCCGCGUGAGUGAUGAAGGUUUUCGGAUCGUAAAGCUCUGUUGCCAGGGAAGAACGUCGUGGAGAGUAACUGCUCUGCGAAUGACGGUACCUGAGAAGAAAGCCCCGGCUAACUACGUGCCAGCAGCCGCGGUAAUACGUAGGGGGCAAGCGUUGUCCGGAAUUAUUGGGCGUAAAGCGCGCGCAGGCGGUUUUUUAAGUCUGGUGUUU